ACCUGCCCACUGAAAAUUUAAAUGGCCGCAGUAUAUUAACUGUGCAAAGGUAGCAUAAUCAUUAGUCUUUUAAUUGAAGGCUGGUAUGAAUGGUUGGACGAAAUAUUAACUGUUUCAGAUAAAUUUAUUGUAGAAUUUUAUUUUUUAGUUAAAAAGCUAAAAUUUAUUUAAAAGACGAGAAGACCCUAUAAAUCUUGAUAUUUUAAUUUAUUUUAAUUAUAGAGAAUAAUUAUAUUAAAAUAAAAUAAAAUAUUUUAUUGGGGUGAUAUUAAAAUUUAAUAAACUUUUAAUUUGUUAAAUCAUUAAUUUAUGAAUAAUUGAUCCAGUUAUACUGAUUAAAAAUUGAAGUUACUUUAGGGAUAACAGCGUAAUUUUUUUGGAGAGUUCAUAUCGAUAAAAAAGAUUGCGACCUCGAUGUUGGAUUAAGAGAUACUUUUAGGUGUAGCCGCUUAAAUUUUAAGUCUGUUCGACUUUUAAAUUCUU
rnacentral:rRNA from 1 species